rnacentral:rRNA from 1 species
UACGUAGGGGGCUAGCGUUGCCCGGAAUCACUGGGCGUAAAGGGCGCGUAGGCGGCCAUUCAAGUCGGGGGUGAAAGCCUGUGGCUCAACCCCAGAACUGCCUUCGAUACUGUUUGGCUUGAGUAUGGUAGAGGCUGGUGGUACUGCUAGUGUAGAGGUGAAAUUCGUAGAUAUUCGCAAGAACACCAGUGGCGAAGGCGGCCAACUGGACCAAUACUGACGCUGAGGCGCGAAAGCGUGGGGAGCAAACAGGAUUAGAUACCCCCGUAGUCC